rnacentral:rRNA from 1 species
AGAGUUUGAUCCUGGCUCAGGAUGAACGCUAGCUACAGGCUUAACACAUGCAAGUCGAGGGGCAUCAGGAAGAAAGCUUGCUUUCUUUGCUGGCGACCGGCGCACGGGUGAGUAACACGUAUCCAACCUGCCCUUUACUCGGGGAUAGCCUUUCGAAAGAAAGAUUAAUACCCGAUGGCAUAAUGAUUCCGCAUGGUUUCAUUAUUAAAGGAUUCCGGUAAAGGAUGGGGAUGCGUUCCAUUAGGUUGUUGGUGAGGUAACGGCUCACCAAGCCUUCGAUGGAUAGGGGUUCUGAGAGGAAGGUCCCCCACAUUGGAACUGAGACACGGUCCAAACUCCUACGGGAGGCAGCAGUGAGGAAUAUUGGUCAAUGGGCGCUAGCCUGAACCAGCCAAGUAGCGUGAAGGAUGAAGGCUCUAUGGGUCGUAAACUUCUUUUAUAUAAGAAUAAAGUGCAGUAUGUAUACUGUUUUGUAUGUAUUAUAUGAAUAAGGAUCGGCUAACUCCGUGCCAGCAGCCGCGGUAAUACGGAGGAUCCGAGCGUUAUCCGGAUUUAUUGGGUUUAAAGGGAGCGUAGGUGGACUGGUAAGUCAGUUGUGAAAGUUUGCGGCUCAACCGUAAAAUUGCAGUUGAUACUGUCAGUCUUGAGUACAGUAGAGGUGGGCGGAAUUCGUGGUGUAGCGGUGAAAUGCUUAGAUAUCACGAAGAACUCCGAUUGCGAAGGCAGCUCACUGGACUGCAACUGACACUGAUGCUCGAAAGUGUGGGUAUCAAACAGGAUUAGAUACCCUGGUAGUCCACACAGUAAACGAUGAAUACUCGCUGUUUGCGAUAUACAGUAAGCGGCCAAGCGAAAGCAU